rnacentral:rRNA from 1 species
UACGUAGGGGGCAAGCGUUUGUCCGGAUUUAUUGGGCGUAAAGAGCGUGUAGGCGGCUUCACAGGUCCGCUGUGAAAACUCGAGGCUCAACCUCGAGCUGUCGGUGGAAACCGUGUGGCUAGAGUCCGGAAGAGGAGAGUGGAAUUCCCGGUGUAGCGGUGAAAUGCGCAGAUAUCGGGAGGAACACCUGUGGCGAAAGCGGCUCACUGGACCACAACUGACGCUGAGGCGCGAAAGCUAGGGGAGCAAACAGGG